rnacentral:lncRNA from 1 species
ACCACAACUAGUCACUUCACAGCUAGCUAGCUUCGUUCGCUGCUUCAGAACUAGCCCACUACCCCUGAUCCAAAAUCAACCAAAACUAGAACCGGUUCUACGAGAAGCCAGGAAUGUAAUCCAUGUCUACCUCCUCUACCGAAGCACGUAUUGUGGAAUCCGUACCUCUCCGAUCCUGAUCUCCUGAAUGGAAAAUGGUGAAAUGUACUAGUGAAGUUAAUGGUUAAAUGACAUGAAGUUUCUCUUUUAUUUCACUUAUGUUUUAGUGUGUAAGUACCAGGGAUGGAACAGAUUCUUUCCUUUGAAUUAUAACUCAGCCUGACUAUCCAGAAUAGUGAAUGUAGCAGUGACAGUAAUGCAUGGUUAAAUGAUGCACUUAUACUUUAGUGUUAAAUAAUCUAAAAUAUUUGCAGUUGAUUGUGCACUAGCAAAACUAUUUUGUUCUUCAUCCUCCUCACAUGUGUUUUGUUGUUAGAUUGCAGAUACCAGCUUGAUGCGAGCUGAGAGGGAUGGUGGCAGCAACAAUGGGCGCAGAGACGACUCACGCUGCCAUCGUUUCUGUAGCUUUCCGAGCCCUAUGGCAGCACGCUACGUCUACACAGUGCACGGGUGCCGCAGCGGAGGGUGUCAUGAUCAUAAGUCUUACCUGCUUCGUAUCCUGAAAAUACUUUCACCACCUAAAAACCAUUUGAUUUCAGUUCGUUUUGUGUUGCCUUAACAAAAAAUGUCCACCAGCUUUUUUUCUUGGUCAUGUUCUUCUCCACCAGGUACACGAGGAAGGUACAAGACCGGAGAAACUUGUACACGAGGAUGGUACCAAUAUAGUACACGAGGAUGUUCUUCUCCACCUCGUGUAAGAUCAUGAAAAAAGUUCUCUUACCAGGCUCCAUCAUGAUCUCUAUAUUGGUACCAUCCUACUGGAUCCAACAG